GGUUAAUUGUCCGAUUAAGGUGUAAUACUGUAGAUAUUAUAAUUAUAUUAACUAUCAUAAUAAACA
rnacentral:tRNA from 1 species